CUCAAGUGACCCUCCCACCUCUUCCUCCCAAAGUGCUGGGAUUACAGGCAUGACCUAUACAACCGGUACAUAUAGAUCACGCCUGGCCAACCCUUAACUAUCUAAAGGUGUCUGCACAGAGAACCAAAGAUACAGACAGAUUUGGUCGUGGUUGUGUUCCAAACUUUCAUUAUCUUUUUAAUUAAAUAUUCAUUGUAGAAAGGUCAGAAACUAUAGAUAAGCAAUACAAAAAAAUGUAAUUAGCCAUCAUUUUGCCACCUGGAGAUAAACACUACCAGAUUUUUUCCACACAUAUAUAAUCAUUUUUUUCAAAAUGGGCUCAUGCCGUACAAAUUAUUUUGUAAUUUGCUUUUCUCACUCAACAAUAUGUUGUGAACAUCUUUCCACAUCAAUAAAUAUUUGUCUGCAUCAUCAUUUAACAGCUGCAUGAUUUUCCACUAUAUGCAUUCAUGUACCAAGCCCUAGUGGUGGACAGUAUGACAGUAUGUUCUCUCUCUCUCUUUUUUUUUUUUUAGAGACAAAGUCUCACUUUGCCACCCAGGGCCAGAGUGCAGUGGCACCAUCAUAGCCCACUGCAGCCUCAGACUUCUGAGCUCAAGCAAUCCUCCUGCCACAGCCUGCCAAGGAGCUGGGACUACAGGCACAUGACAGUGUGCCCAGAUAAUUUUUUUUUUCAGAGACCAAGUCUUGUUAUGUUGCCCAGGCUGGUCUUGAACUCCUGGCCUCAAGUGAUCCUCUGGCCUCAGCCUCCCAAAGUGCUAGGAUUACAGAUGUGAGCCGCUGUGACUGUCCUCUCUCUGUUCUAAACCACACUCUGAUUUGCAUCUGCUGCAGGCAGACACAGCAAACAGAGAAGGGUAGGCCCUCAGCCCGUCCAGCCUCCACCCAAACCCCCCAUCCUCCUAGCCUGGCUCAGGCCCCAUUCUCUGGGGUGCCUCCUCUCCUGCUUCCCCAAAUGGAAGGCCCCAACUUCUAAAGCCUCUGGCCAAACCCUAGACUGCCUUCUAGACUGCACAGCAGGAUAAUACCAGCCAUGGAGAGAGAAGUCUGGAUGCCCUUUCAAGGAGCCUACAGCCAAGCUGUGCCUGCUUCAAGCUGAGCCAACCAUGUCUUCAUGGGGAGAACGGAGGGAAACUUAUGUGGCACUGUCGCCCAAUCCAAGGAAGUGGAGAUGGAAGUCACGAGCCAGGUGGACGGGUGUUGGCAGCAGACUGCACUGGACUUAAGCCUGUGGGGAUUAGCUUGGAGCCUCACCUAAGACCUGGGGGCCACUAAGAAGGCAGAACUCCUAGCAACCCACCGCCAAGGCCGUAGAAGGGUGGAACAGACCUCCAGGUGCAAUUACUCCCAAACCCACGGAGAAGAGGAGGCCCUUUAGGGCGUAUUGGGCUGUGAAGUGAAGAGCCGGGCUCAGACCUCAGGCUCCAGGAGGAGGCAGAGUGAGAACUGUUUUCUGUAUAUACUCAGAAGUUUCCUGAGGUCUUAAGAGUAGCAAGGUGAGAAAGGGAAGGUGUUGCUAUCCUAUCUAGGUGUACAGAGAGACACACACACCAAGGAUGGAGACGGUUUAUUGUUAUACCAAAAAUAUAUGUAUAUAUCUAUAUAUAUAUGCAGAAAUAAAGGAUCAGAAGGCUAUAAA